GGUUUGGAUAAACUUGGACCUCUGCUGUAUCACUUUGCAGACAUGUACGGUCAGGAAGAGUAAGUUGAGAUGUCUAUUGAAUUGAGUUUGGAAGAUGUAAAGAAGACUGCUUUGAUUAUGGUUGAGUUAGAGAAAGAACAAACCGUGGAGACAACCUAUACUACUAAUCCUCGAUCCUGAUGCAAGUAAACCAUUACCAUGCUGCGUUUUGGACAAUGCGAAA